rnacentral:lncRNA from 1 species
AAAAGUAAACCAUUACAGGUCAAAAUACAGUUUUCAAAACAGAGCUCACACGAAACAGCAAGCCAUUAAGGGCCACAAAAGCGGCAGCAUACACUAGCACCUGUAAUAGCUAGCAGUGUAGACAAUUACAUAUCAAUGUGUAUGGUGAUAUAGCAAUAGAAAUAUCACAUCCAUCAGAGGGAAAUAGAAUAUAGACAAUAGAAAUAUCACAUACAUCAGACUCAGAGGGAAAUAGAAUAUAGACUGUCACAAUAGAAAUAUCACAGACAUCAGAGGAAAAUAGAAUAUAGACAAUAGAAUAAGGGUAUGUCAAAGAGGCAAACAUAGAAAUGGGAUAUGUCAAAGAGACAAA